rnacentral:rRNA from 1 species
UACGAAGGGGGGCUAGCGUUGUUCGGAAUUACUGGGCGUAAAGGGCGCGCAGGCGGCUCUUCAAGUCAGAUGUGAAAGCCCCGGGCUCAACCUGGGAACUGCAUUUGAGACUGGAGAGCUUGAGUUCGGGAGAGGAGAGCGGAAUUCCCAGUGUAGAGGUGAAAUUCGUAGAUAAUUUGGGAAGAACACCGGUGGCGAAGG